AGAGUUUGAUCCUGGCUCAGAACGAACGCUGGCGGCAGGCCUAAUACAUGCAAGUCGAGCGCGCCCUUCGGGGUGAGCGGCGGACGGGUGAGUAACGCGUGGGAACCUGCCUUUUUCUGCGGGAUAACGGUUGGAAACGACCGCUAAUACCGCAUACGCCCUACGGGGGAAAGGUCCGCCGGAGAAAGAGGGGCCCGCGUCUGAUUAGCUAGUUGGUAGGGUAACGGCCUACCAAGGCGACGAUCAGUAGCUGGUCUGAGUGGAUGAUCAGCCACACUGGGACUGAGACACGGCCCAGACUCCUACGGGAGGCAGCAGUGGGGAAUAUUGGACAAUGGGGGCAACCCUGAUCCAGCAAUGCCGCGUGUGUGAUGAAGGCCUUAGGGUUGUAAAGCACUUUCACUGGUGAAGAUGAUGACGGUAGCAGUAGAAGAAACCCCGGCUAACUCCGUGCCAGCAGCCGCGGUAAU
rnacentral:rRNA from 1 species